rnacentral:snoRNA from 1 species
AAGUCUAUACUUUCAGGAAUCAUUUCUAUAGUUCAUUACUAGCCUCUUUCCAUUGAUGAUCAUUCUUCUCUCCCUUUGGGAGAAUGAGAGGGAGGGGG